rnacentral:rRNA from 1 species
AUUGAACGCUGGCGGCAUGCCUUACACAUGCAAGUCGAACGGCAGCACGGGAGCAAUCCUGGUGGCGAGUGGCGAACGGGUGAGUAAUAUAUCGGAACGUGCCCAGUAGUGGGGGAUAGCCCGGCGAAAGCCGGAUUAAUACCGCAUGAGACCUGAGGGUGAAAGCGGGGGAUCGCAAGACCUCGCGCUACUGGAGCGGCCGAUAUCAGAUUAGCUAGUUGGUGGGGUAAAGGCCUACCAAGGCAACGAUCUGUAGUUGGUCUGAGAGGACGACCAGCCACACUGGGACUGAGACACGGCCCAGACUCCUACGGGAGGCAGCAGUGGGGAAUUUUGGACAAUGGGCGCAAGCCUGAUCCAGCAAUGCCGCGUGCAGGAAGAAGG